GGACUGGAGUCUGCAACCCGACUCCACGAAGCUGGAUUCGCUAGUAAUCGCGCAUCAGCCACGGCGCGGUGAAUACGUUCCCGGGCCUUGUACACACCGCCCGUCAAGCCAUGGGAGCCGGGGGUACCUGAAGUGCGUAACCGCGAGGAUCGCCCUAGGGUAAAACUGGUGACUGGGGCUAAGUCGUAACAAGGUAGC
rnacentral:rRNA from 1 species